rnacentral:tRNA from 1 species
GGGGUUGUGGCUCAGUGGUAGAGCGCUUGCCUAGCAUGCGUGAGGCACUGGGUUGGUUACCAGGCAUCACAUAAAAAUAAACAAAUAAAAUAAAGGUAUUGUGUCCAUCUACAACCCAAAAAAAUCUUUAAAAAAAUAUUUAGGGCUGGGGUUGCAGCUCAGCAUGUGUGAGGCACUGGGUUUGAUCCUCAGCACCACG